UAAAGUGAGGGCCAGGGGGGGGUGGAAGACGUAGGACGAAGGCGUUGUGCGGGGGUACUGGGCGUAAAGGGUGGGUAGGCGGUUGUUUAAGUUGUGUGUGAAAGCUCCCGGAGCAACCGGGAGGGUGCGCCGAAUACUGAAUGACUUGGAGUGCGGGAGAGGAAAGUGGAAUUCCUGGUGUAGCGGUGAAAUGCGUAGAUAUCAGGAGGAACACCGGUGGUGUAGACGGCUUUCUGGACCGUAACUGACGCUGAGACACGAAAGCGUGGGUAGCAAACAGGAUUAGAUACCCUAGUAGUC
rnacentral:rRNA from 1 species